rnacentral:miRNA from 1 species
UGCAUUACUGUUUCUUCGACUCCG